rnacentral:rRNA from 1 species
UACAGGGGGUGCAAACGUUGCUCGGAAUUAUUGGGCGUAAAGCGCACGUAGGCGGUCUGUUAUGUCGGAUGUGAAAGCCCUUGGCUUAACUGAGGAAGUGCAUCCGAAACUGGCAGGCUAGAGUACUAAAGAGGGUCGCGGAAUUCCCGGUGUAGAGGUGAAAUUCGUAGAGAUCAUGAGGAAGAACCAGUGGCGAAGGCGGGUCUCUGGACAGUUCCUGACACUGAGACACGAAGGCCAGGGGAGCAAACGGGG